rnacentral:rRNA from 1 species
UUCCGGUUGAUCCCGCCGGACCCGACUGCUAUCAGAGUGGGACUAAGCCAUGCGAGUCAACGCCGCAAGGCGUGGCAUACGGCUCAGUAACACGUAGUCAACAUGCCCAAGGGACGUGGAUAACCUCGGGAAACUGAGGAUAAACCGCGAUAGGCCAAGAUUUCUGGAAUGGAUCAUGGCUGAAAUCUAUAUGGCCCUUGGAUUGGACUGCGGCCGAUCAGGCUGUUGGUGAGGUAAUGGCCCACCAAACCUAUAACCGGUACGGGCUUUGAGAGAAGGAGCCCGGAGAUGGGCACUGAGACAAGGGCCCAGGCCCUAUGGGGCGCAGCAGGCGCGAAAACUCUGCAAUAGGCGAAAGCUUGACAGGGUUACUCUGAGUGAUGCCCGCUAAGGGCAUCUUUUGGUACCUCUAAAAAUGGUGCAGGAUAAGGGGUGGGCAAGUCUGGUGUCAGCCGCCGCGGUAAUACCAGCACCCCGAGUGGUCGGGACGAUUAUUGGGCCUAAAGCAUCCGUAGCUUGUCCUGCAAGUCUUCCGUUAAAUCCACCUGCUCAACAGAUGGGCUGCGGGAGAUACUACAGGGCUAGGAGGCGGGAGAGGCAAGCGGUACUCAGUGGGUAGGGGUAAAAUCCUCUGAUCCACUGAAGACCACCAGUGGCGAAGGCGGCUUGCCAGAACGCGCUCGACGGUGAGGGAUGAAAGCUGGGGGAGCAAACCGGAUUAGAUACCCGGGUAGUCCCAGCUGUAAACAAUGCAGACUCGGUGAUGGGUUGGCUUCGCGCCAACCCAGUGCCGCAGGAAGCCGUUAAGUCUGCCGCCUGGGGAGUACGGUCGCAAGACUGAAACUUAAAGGAAUUGGCGGGGGAGCACCACAAGGGUGAAGCCUGCGGUUCAAUUGGAUUCAACGCCGGA